UGUCGCAGCAAAACGUUAGCACUGUGCGCUGAGUAUCUACUUGCUGAUGUCAUUGGUUUCUAGGUGUUUUUUUCCUAUCCUUCCCGCCUCCCCGACGCCACUUCUGCAGACUUAAUACCAGCUGCUGUUUUACACGAGGAGCGACAACAGAAAGAGGAAAUUUGGGCACACAGAGAGACACCAGGAACACGCACACCAAGGAAGGACCAUGUGAGCACAUAGCUAGAAGGUGGCUAUCUGCAAGCCAAAGAGGAAGGCUCAGGAAAAACCAAACCUGUCAACACCUUGAUAUUGGAUGUCCAGCCUCCAGAGCUGACCAUGAUUUGCACGGAAGAAGAAAAGAACUAGGACAGUCAGCGGCCAGAUGAACAGUGAGGAGCAGAUCUCCUGAGCGGCCGACAAGAGAAUCCUGGUGCCUCUGUUCAUUAUAUUUCUCACUUGCGCUCAGUUUCCACUGACUGAGGGACCACUGGAAAUGAGCAUGUCAGCAAGCACUGGAGAGUUACAAAGUUGAAGAAGUCGAAGAAGCCUCGUACCAGGAAAGCAGGCCUUAAAGGAUCACAUAAACAAAAAGAGAAUAUACAUUUCAAAGUAUUUUUCAAGUGAGCAGCAACAGGUGACAAUGGUUUUCACGACUGAACAUCACAGAGACAAACGGGAAAAGCCAAUCUCUGAACUUUCUUCCACAAAGGGGGAGCACAGGAAGGUCUGCAGCGGGACACAGGUACCGCCCCUGCCUCUGAGCACAGUCAGAAGGUCUAGGCAGCACGAGCGAGGUCACAGGCACCAUAUACGGACUCAAAGGGCCACUGAAGGCAGUUCUCAUGGUCAAAGAGCUGGACAGACACGUUAAAAGGAUGAAACGUAAGGCUGCCAAGUGCCAAAAGACAAACGCAAAUAAUCAGUCCUAUAGGAAUUAAGAAGUGCAAAAGAGCAGGGCUUUGUGCAGGAUAACUGAUUAUUGAGGAGGAGGCCCAGGAAAUGCCAAGGUGGGAAGCAGAUCAAUUACUCUUCAGAAAAUACACACAGAAAAAAAAAAAAUAGUCAGG